UCCUCCGAUUCCAGACCUACCACCAGGCUACCCUCUGAUACUUGGCUCCCCAUUAGAAAAUGCAUGGAUCUUCUGAUGUGAAUAUUCUGGUCUGUUUUGCAAAUUAAAUUGGCUUUGAAAAUAGCACUUUCUUUUUGAGAAUUACUAAAUGGACCCCUGGUUUAUGCAUCAGGUAUAGUGAUCUUUGUUAAUGUGGGUCUGAGAUAUGUCUCUAAUCUGAGAGAUGUAGUCAUUGUCAAGUGCCAUAAACAUCAAAGUUCUGAGCCUGUCAGGAUGCUGGACCCUGGUAAUGUACCAGUCUGUGAAAAUGAAUCCAGGUGACCAGCAGACCUUUCCUGGGACCACAUUCUUAGCUCCACUGCAGGCCUUUUUUUCUCCAGAGCCAGAUUAUAAGCUUCUUAAGAACACAGACCCACUGGUUAGGAUUCUGGUCUUUCACUGCUGUGGCCUGGGUUGGAUCCCUGUUGGGGGAACUGAGAUCCUGCAAGCAGCAAGCACGGCAAAGAAAAAAAGAGCACAGACAUGGCUUCUCCUUUUUCAUCUCCCACCUCUGCCUAGCACAGGGCUGGGCAGUUUAAGAAACUUCCAAAAGAGAUUGAGAAUAUCAAUGAAGAAACUAAUGAAUUCAGUGCAUGUGGGGGAAAUCUGGACACAAGGUCACUGUGGGCAUAUGUGGACAGAGGGACCACCGUGUGAGGAUACAAUGAGAAGGUGGCCACUUGUAAGACAAGGAGAGAGGCCUCAGGAGAAACCAGACCCUACAGAUACCUUCAUCUUGGACUUCUAGCUUCCAGAAGUGCAUGUGAGAUCUUAGCUCCCCAACUAGGGAUCAAACCUGUACCCUCCUGCAUUGGA